CUCGGCUUUUAGACGCUUCCUACGCUUGUUAAUUUACAGUUCUUUUCUCACACCAUAUAAACACUUCCCCUUUCUGUCCACACACAACUUCCCCACUUCAAUUCCUCUCUCUUUUCAUCUCAAAGAUUUAACCUUUUAAGUCUUCCUCUUACGGGUGAGUUGUGAUGAAGCUCUGAUGGGAGGUAACUUCUGUGUAAAGUAAAUUUGUAUCAUGUCUGAUAAUGUUAUUCAAUCAAAUAAUGAUGAUGAUGGAAUGCAUAGAUCAUCUAUGCAUCUUUACCAAUCUGUUUGGAUGGCUCACUGGACACAGACAAGUUGUAAGUCUGAAACCCGGGAUGAUAAACCAUUAUCAUUUCAUUGUAUGUCCAAAAAAGAGGACUGUGAUUUUAAGCAACAAGGAUCCGAGAUACCAUCUCACAUUUCUAAACAUGCUGAAGGAUUUGAAGUUUCUGAAUCUAGGACAGCUAAUAUCAUGGAUGAAAAUAUUAAACUGGGUUCAAUGAAAAGUGGAAAAGAAAUGUCAGAAGGCCUGUUCUUUCCAAAGUUAAGUCUUUCCGAUAAGGAGAGUACUAUCGAAUUGAAUGUCACAACCUGUCAAGGGGGAGUUCCUAAAAUGGGAACUUCAUCUGGAGAAUGUCAUUUCCAGCAUGAAGGUAUCUUAGGGGAUCUGGAGCUGCAGGUGAAAUCUCAUGAAUCUCCUGUGAGGAAAAGCUUAGCUGUUUCAAAAUCUUUUAAGCAAAAUGCGGGCUCUAGCUCUAAUUUUGUCCUGUAUAGAUACAACAGCAGGAAGUCUCCAAUUCAAUCCAUCAUAAGCAGAGAAGAAGAGAUGAAUCAAUCAAGCCCAGCUGUUGCAUCUCAAGAGCACCUCAGAAAUUCAAAAUUUCAAAGCUAUUCUACAUCUUUGGUUCAUGAUAAGACAGCAAAUAACCCAUUAGGUUUCAGAAGAUCCGGGACAUCAUCCUCGAGGCAAAAUAAUGUGCAUCUUUUACUGAAUGAACCCUCAGCAAGCAAUGAUCAGCUACCCGUUUUUAUUGGUAAACAGAGAGGAAAAACGCACAAUCAUUCUGGUACUAGAUUGUUUCCGAACUGGGGUAAUCCACUAGACGCAACCAAAAUGGGAACUUCAUUUUAUGAUUUUUUCUCAGUACCAAGAAUUCUGCAGUCGCUUCAUGAUGUGGAGUCGAUGAGGAUAUGCAACACUGAAGGGCAUCCCAAGCUUUCUCAGACAACGCACCAUUUUCUUAUCACUAAGAAAACUGAUGUUGACUUGUCAGAAGGUGGUGAAACGUUUAAAGAAAAAAUGUUAAGCAAAUUCCUCAGUCUAUCUCCCGAUUUUGGUUUUCAUGAGCAGCAGGGAGUGAAACUCCAAUCUCUAGGGAGCACCACUGAUAGUGAGGAAAAAGAAAAUAUUGGAGAUAACAAGACUUCUGCAGUUUGUUUAAAGAAUGAGUCAUUAGCUGACACUGAUACUAUGGACAUGGAUGUUUUCCGGAAGAACCAUUUUUCUGGAGAUAAAUUCAUGGUUUCUUCGCCAACAAAUGAGGUUGCCAGAGUGGACGAAGUAGCAAGAUCACAAGCUGUCGUUGCUUCAACUAGAGAAGAAACUGGAGGAAGAUUACCCAACAUUGAGUUACCUGAUAUAAACCAAGAGCUUCCUGCACUUCCAUCUGUUGCUGACUCUGUGGAUGAUAGGGAGACAAGUUCCUCAAGAACCCAGAGUUUAGAUGUUGAGCAUCUCCCUUCACAUGUUGAGCUACCCACAAAUUCCAAAUCUGGUGCCUUUCCAGACGGUCGUAUGGGAUCAGAUCCAAGCAUCAGAUGGGUUAAACGUCUGAAGUUGAGUGCCCCGGGUUCUUUUGCUCAUGGAACUAAGAGUUCUGAAACAGAAGAAGCUUCUUCCCAUGAGAAAGUUAACAAGUUUGUCAAUGAAAUCACGAGAUGCAACAUUACUAAUUCUGAACCCACUAUUGGCAGAUGCUCUGAUAAAGAACCGAUGGCACUGGACCAGACUGCUGGCUUUUUAAAGAAUGGAGACUCUUCUUUCAGCAAAACACAGAGGAAGCCUCAAGACAUAACUCUUUCGAAUUCUUGGAUUCGGAGAUGGUGUCAUGAGAGAUCUGCAUCUCGAACAGAGAACCGUGAUGAAGUGACACUUUGUGAGCCACGAAGUUCAAAAUCAACAUUAGAUGAACUUCAAAAGAAGCAGUUUCCAAGCAUAGGUGCUAUGGCUCUGAUGGGGAAGGUUCUGAACACUUUUCAACAAUGUGAAUUUAGGAAAAAGGGUUCAUAUAUUGUUUGGAAAACUUGGGGAUGCUGAGAUGAUUCUACACAGAUUAUGAAGGGAACAGACAGCAAGCUAAGCAAUCCACAGGUCUUUAUGGCUACCUUGGUAUUCAAUUUGCUUUUGAAAGGCGAGGCUCGCCUUUCAGUAAAAAAAGAAAUCAGUGGACAGAAUGUGGAAAUUUCUUUAGCUAUAAUGUUCCCUCGUGAUGAAGAAGCGCUAAGUUACAAUCAGUAAACAUGGCAUAAAUCAGCUCUUCAUAAGGGCAAACCUAUUACGCAUGAACACGGUUAUACUAAUAUUUUUUAACAAAUCAAAGAUUACCUACUAUGGUUCCAUUUCUGACUUGGCGUCUAGUCUGCUUUAAAGCAGCUUCAAAGAAACUGCUUCCAUGUAAACUUGACUCUCUGCAGGGUGGAGCAAAUUGAAUGAUUAUAUCCCUUAACGGGAUAAAACCAGUUGCCCGAUGUGAAUCAUUUAUUAAAAAGUAGAAAUUGCUCUUUGUAUCAGCUAGCUCCUUCAUGGCUUGCUUGAGGGUGUCAAUUUUCUUAUUAGUCACUGGUCCAUUCUUGGAAGAAAACUGUUCUAUAGGCAGAGAAACCCUUGGUGGGAUAAGGUCUCCAAUUUCUCAUUCAAUGAUCGCACAUAAUCUGCUCGACCAGUCUCCACUUAGUUGAAAGUCCUGUAAAUAUGCGAGAUAAUCUAUUUGUUCUUUGCUCUUGGUCAAAUGUUUAAUCUAGAUGGAAAUAGCCUUGCUCUCUAUUAGGGAUCAGAUCAUCAUUCUCCAGAAGAAGAUAGAAGUCACUUCUUCUGAUAGUACCAAUCAGUCUCUUGGUUCCAAUAUUAACAGCCGCAAUUUCUCCUACUUGGUUCUCGCAUAACAUCCGAAGACCUUUGGAUAUGCUUUGGUCUCCAUAUACUCCAACAAGAUGAUCCCCAUUCUCCAGCUGAAAGAGGAGAAAAUCAAUGCAUGUCUGCAAUUCUAUCAAACGAUUCCUAGUCCAGUUGAUUGAAGCGGCCACUGCAUUACUACAUUCUCUAUUGUACCAGUUACACUGUGAUUUAAGAUUAUUUAGAUUUCUCAUUUUACCAACA